AGUGAACGCUGGCGGUAGGCCUAACACAUGCAAGUCGAACGGCAGCACAGUAAGAGCUUGCUCUUACGGGUGGCGAGUGGCGGACGGGGGAGGAAUACAUCGGAAUCUACUUUUUCGUGGGGGAUAACGUAGGGAAAAUUACGCUAAUACCGCAUACGACCUACGGGUGAAAGCAGGGGAUCUUCGGACCUUGCGCGAUUGAAUGAGCCGAUGUCGGAUUAGCUAGUUGGCGGGGUAAAGGCCCACCAAGGCGACGAUCCGUAGCUGGUCUGAGAGGAUGAUCAGCCACACUGGAACUGAGACACGGUCCAGACUCCUACGGGAGGCAGCAGUGGGGAAUAUUGGACAAUGGGCGCAAGCCUGAUCCAGCCAUACCGCGUGGGUGAAGAAGGCCUUCGGGUUGUAAAGCCCUUUUGUUGGGAAAGAAAAGCAGCAGGUUAAUACCCCGCUGUUCUGACGGUACCCAAAGAAUAAGCACCGGCUAACUUCGUG
rnacentral:rRNA from 1 species